rnacentral:tmRNA from 1 species
GGGGAUGCUUUGGUUUUGACAGCAAGGGAAUUUGAAAUGUAAGCAUGUCGAGCGUUGAGUUAGUGGCUCGUUAAUCCCAAAUCUCAAGCCUUAACUGGCAAUAACAACUAUGCUCUCGCUGCCUGAUUCGCCAAGCGAAACAGCUUAAUCCAGCAGCCCAAGGCUGGUUGCAGGACGAGGAUCUCGCGAAAGGUUUGUCUUUCGACUUUUCGAUUUUGAGGUUUCAUAUUUUGAAGGAAUCGCAUUCGCAACACCUUUAAGCGGAUGUUAAACUUUUAAAGGUUAAGGAUAAAAUCGACAGCCUUUUGUCCAACUUUAUCCCGACAGAAUGAAAAAAGGCUAAACAUGUAGAAAGCAUUUUGAUUACUUGUUUGGACGCGGGUUCGAGUCCCGCCAUCUCCACAA